rnacentral:rRNA from 1 species
UACGGAGGGAGCUAGCGUUGUUCGGAAUCACUGGGCGUAAAGCGCACGUAGGCGGCUUUGCAAGUUAGAGGUGAAAGCCCGGGGCUCAACUCCGGAACUGCCUUUAAGACUGCAUCGCUUGAAUCCGGGAGAGGUGAGUGGAAUUCCGAGUGUAGAGGUGAAAUUCGUAGAGAUUCGGAAGAACACCAGUGGCGAAGGCGGCUCACUGGACCGGUAUUGACGAUGAGGUGCGAAAGCGUGGGGAGCAAACAGG